rnacentral:lncRNA from 1 species
CAUGUCAUGAACUGCAAGAUUGUAUCCAGCCUUAAUCAAGUUAUCGGCCAUUCUUGAUCCCAUGUUUCCAAGUCCUAUAAAUCCAAUUCUCUGUAGAAGAUCCAGAUAAUAAUAAUAUUAUUAGCAAACCUGAAACAGAGCUGCAUAGGAAAAUAUCGCAAGUAAAAUUCAUAAAAUACAAGGAAAUUUACAGUUACAUAUCUGGGAUAAGAUAACUAGUUCAUACUAGGAACAUAUUCAAAAACACAGUGAUCACUUGACGAGUGAGGCUUGCUCAGUUGGUAAAAGUACCAACACCCACUACCAUUAGGUCCUGGGUUCGAGUCAGGCCGGAGGGAAGUGUGGAAACACUAUACAUCCUUCUAAAUUGGGAGGGGUUUUAAAAAGAAAAAAAAACACAGUGAUUACUUUCAGUUAAGGUUAAGAGAUAAAGAAAAUUGAAAAUCACUAACCAAUUUUACAGAAAAGAACCAUAGUCCAAAAUCUUCAAACGAUCCUAUUAAACUAAUAUAGUUCAAAAAGUCAUUUCUAGUUCCACAUCAACUAAUUUAAGUAAAACAGAAACUACCCAGUUCAACUAUUGUCAAAGGGAGGUCAAGUGUAAUUUCUUGGAGCUAAAAAGUGGAAAAUAUAGCAAAAUAGUAACUCGGGAAAAAAAAACUUACUCCAAAAAGAGAUGUGUCAUUCAGUGAAGAGUAGCUGCGAAAUGGAGAAAAGUGUGAAGCUGAACAAACCAAUAACUUGGGCCUCCAUUUGUGGAGACCCAAAAGUGAUCUUAGCCUGAAAGUUGCCAUAGCUGCAAAUUCC